rnacentral:ncRNA from 1 species
UAUAGUAAUCAGGGUCGUCAACUUCUUUCCACGGAGAAGAAUCAAUGACGGUAUCUGGGGAAUAAGCAUCGGCUAACUCUGUGCCAGUAGCCGCGGUAAUACAGAGGAUGC